UUACAGUUGGCAAGUUAAAACAUCGAAAUACAAAAUAAACUCAAAAGAGCAUGCUGUAAAGCGCUGCGUAUGCGCAAUUUCUGGCAAACGCCUUCCCUUUUUUAUUGAUUUUCCCCGCGUAUUUUUUGCAAUCGGAAGGUUUCUCUUGGUGGCAUCGAUGUCGAGGCAUCGAGAGGGCGAUUUUGUGGCACGGAAAUUCAGAAUCUGCGAGACCAAAAAAAAAAACCCAAGCCAAAAGCACGGAACGUGGCUGCGAAACCAAAGGAACAAACGGCAUAAGCAGACAAGCCCAGGUUGCCCACCAGCUUCGGUCACCCUGAAAACUGUGGGCCGCGUCGCUGCGCAAUAGCGUAACAUAAACAGCAACAUCACAGAGAGCGAGGCUGCAGCAUAGUUACACCCAAGACCUGUGUAAGCACAGCUCUCGUGGCUGUCGUAGUCACCACGCCCCCAUUAUGCGAUUGGUCCUUGCGGCAUGUACAAAAGAAUAAGCAUAAGAAUUUCGUGUGAAAAAAUGAUCGAUAUGAGAGCGAGCGGCGACACAUUUCGUGGCGGUUGUUGGACUUGGGCUUUCAGGGUGCCAGGAACUGCUACUGUCGCCGUGGGCGAUGUGCGAAUGGGUAAAAUGCCCCACUGCCGUAGGUCACAGAGCUUAUAGGGUCUUAAAAACUUGGCAAGCAGGGAACCAACAUGGGACCACACUCCACUGCGUGUCAUACCUAUUUGCAAAAGGGAAUGUGCCAGUGUCCUAAGCAUCGAUAAAAGAGUGACCAUCCUUCCUGGAAGGGAAUUAAUGGAAGAAACCCCAAUGGCUUUUCUUUAAGCCUUUGAAUACCAGAAACCGAUAGGGACCUAAGACGACGACAAGAAAGUCGCGGGUCCUCGCGAUGGUUUAUAUGGUUGUAUAUGGUUUACAAGGCCAUAUACCAACCAAGUUCAUUGAAGCUCCAUUUCAAUUUCCGGAAAUUCCCAGUUAUGUAAUGACAUUUAUCAAAGAACAUUCCAGUUGGCUCGAUGACUAA